rnacentral:rRNA from 1 species
GACGAACGCUGGCGGCGUGCCUAACACAUGCAAGUCGAACGGAAAGGCCCUGCUUUUGUGGGGUGCUCGAGUGGCGAACGGGUGAGUAACACGUGAGUAACCUGCCCUUGACUUUGGGAUAACUUCAGGAAACUGGGGCUAAUACCGGAUAGGAGCUCCUGCUGCAUGGUGGGGGUUGGAAAGUUUCGGCGGUUGGGGAUGGACUGGCGGCUUAUCAGCUUGUUGGUGGGGUAGUGGCUUACCAAGGCUUUGACGGGUAGUCGGCAUGAGAGGGUGACCGGGGACAAUGGGACUAAGGGAGGGACCAGACGGCAACGGGGGACAACAGGGGAAAAUAUUACACAGUGAGCCGAAGCCUGAUACGAAGGCGCCGGGUGCGUAAAGACGGCCUUCGGGGUGUGAACCGCUUUAGCCUGUGACGAAGCGUGAGUGACGGUAAUGAGUAAAGAAGCACCGGCUAACUACGUG